rnacentral:rRNA from 1 species
CUCGGCGGAUCAGCCCGCUCCCGGUAAAACGGGACGGCCCGCCAGAGGACCCCUAAAAUCUGUUUCUAUAUGUAACUUCUGAGUAAAACCAUAAAUAAAUCAAAACUUUCAACAACGGAUCUCUUGGUUCUGGCAUCGAUGAAGAACGCAGCAAAAUGCGAUAAGUAAUGUGAAUUGCAGAAUUCAGUGAAUCAUCGAAUCUUUGAACGCACAUUGCGCCCGCCAGUAUUCUGGCGGGCAUGCCUGUUCGAGCGUCAUUUCAACCCUCAAGCACAGCUUGGUGUUGGGACUCGCGUUAAUUCGCGUUCCCCAAAUUGAUUGGCGGUCACGUCGAGCUUCCAUAGCGUAGUAGUAAAACCCUCGUUACUUGGUAAUCGUCGCGGCCACGCCGUUAAACCCCAACUUCUGAAUGUGACCUCGGAUCAGGUAGAAUCCCAGCCC